UCGUUUUCCAGCAAUACUCAAGAUUAGAAGGCAUUGUUGAUGGGGUGAGACAAAGUUGGGAGGAGGCCAAUACAGAGCAGUAACUCCAGCAGAGACCAGCUGGGUUUUGUGCUAACAAACAAAACAGGAGCGGUCUCCGUGGCGAUGGACAAAGUGCAAUGAUCCGCAGAUAAAUGCACCAUCCACAAAGUCCAGGUUCAAUAUCCAACCUUAACUCAGAAAGGGCAGUCACCGAGGAGCUGCAAGAGGCCUCAAUUCCCCUCGAUAGUGAAGGACAAGACCAAAACACAGCUUUCAUUGAGUCAAUGCCACACCCACAUGGACACCAGCCUCGAUGGAAGCUGAGGAGAGCUGGCCAAGUACCAUAACCACUCUAUCAUCACACUGAGCAAGCUUACAAUGAUAAGGAGAUCAGCAUGGGUUCCAGUGAACACUGGGAUGUCCAUA